UACAAACCUCGCAUUUACCAAAGUGCUCCACUGUGCGUUGACGGGGAUAUUCCCUUACACAGCUGAAUUUCUUAGAUUUGUUUUCAUUCGUGCGUAGGUUGCAACUUUGGCAGUAAAGUGCAGCAUCAGCGCAGUAAGAAGUAGUUUGGGGGUUGGUGUAAUAGCUGAUGACUCGCUGGUGUUUUAUUGUGGUGCAUAUGGAAUGAGGGAACAAUUGUGCUGAUUGUAUGUGGGACAGGCGCCUCUCGACACUUUUGCCACAAGUGCUCUUUUGUGUCACGUUUUGCGGAUGAGCGGCAGAACUACGCAUCCGCCCACGGACGGUUGUUCUUUUCGAAGGAUCUAAUCUUUGACAAGGAUUUCUUCGCAGGCGUUUCCCUUUCACCGUAGGCAGUUAAGCAUACCAUACAUCUUCUGCAAGGGCUCUGCUGCACACCAUAGUACAAAACGCGGUCGCACAAUGAUGCACAUGUCCUUUUGGUGGGGUUCCGAUGUGGGCGAUGUGUUCUUCUCCGGACUGACCGUCAAUGGGGCCGGACCAAUGGUGGCACUGUGUCUCACGCUAACAGCACUAUCCGUUGCCUACGAAGGGCUAAAGAUCCACGGCGCUAAGGUGCGCGCUCGUACGGCGAGAGAACGUGUACGGUCCGGGUCCUGCCCACCGAGUGAAAGUGCCACCCUGCUAUCGCUGGAAGGAAGCGUCAGUAAUGGUCCGCUAAGCGGAAGCGCCUUGCCACGCCGUGUUCGGAAGCUUCUGGCGGAAGCUGUUACGUUUCUGUUUCACAGCAUGCUGGGAUAUGCGCUCAUGCUGACGGUGAUGGUUUACAAUGGGUUUCUGUUUAUUGCCGUGGUCGGCGGCAUGGGACUCGGGUACUUCCUGUUUGGCCAUCUCUCGAUGAAGGUGAACAUGGAGAAUAUUCAGGCACAGCAGACGAAAAUGAUCUGCACCACGCGCUGUCUACAGCAAGCCGAAAGCUGCGCAAUGAGCCAUUCGACGCCCUGCCCAACCGGUCGCACUGGCCGCUCUAAUUAUCAAACUCUGACCUAAUUGCUCACCCGCCGUCACAUGCACAAGCAAUCACAUCCCUUUUCCACACCAGCUCACUGUUUGACCCCUUGUAUGAUAAACCCGUUUCCGUUUUGUUCCUCCAUCGUUUGCAGUAGUUUUCUUGGAAUCGGUAAACCCUUCUGCCUCGACCAGUCUAGAGCAUUAUCCACGCAGCACGUCGGUUGACGUUACCGAGCAUGGUACAAACAGUCGGUCCGGUGUCGCACAUGGUUCUGGAUGCCAUUAGACGGGUUGCGCGUACUGACUGCAUCGCUUCUACCCGACCCAUAUAACCACCAUAGCUUUUGGGGCGCGUUUGAACUGACAAAGCCAAAACACAAACGCGCGCUUCUUCCAUGCCAAAAGCCUGCACAGCAACACAAACCGCAUAUGAAACUGUGAUCUUUUAGUGUUUUUCCUCCCUGUUUUACUCCGGUGCUUGGAGGAACGAUUACCGGUGUGCGUAUCGAUUACCUGUUGAUUUAAGG